rnacentral:rRNA from 1 species
GGAAGUAAAAGUCGUAACAAGGUUUCCGUAGGUGAACCUGCGGAAGGAUCAUUACUGAUUUAGCGAACCGAGCGUUAGCGAGGUUUUGCGAUCAACUUGUAUUUAAAACCCACUCUUCAAUGUAUAAAAUUUGUAUUAAUGAUAAAUUAAAAGAUCACUUUCAACAACGGAUCUCUUGGCUCUCGCAUCGAUGAAGAACGUAGCGAAGUGCGAUAAGUAAUGUGAAUUGCAGUAUUCCGUGAAUCAUUGAACCUUUGAACGCAUAUUGCACUUUCUGGUAUUCCGGAAAGUAUGCCUGUUUGAGGGUCAGUUAAAUAAAAAUCGGUGUUGUUGCCGCUUUCCGUGGUGACGCGUCGGAAUUGAGUCGUCUUCGGUUAAGUGACUUAAAAUUUUAUAUGAUUUUCGAACGUAUUUAAAUUUAUUUGAACGUUUGAUAUCGAAUGCUUAUUAGGUUCGGUCAUCCUCAUGACUCGCGCCUAUAAUUUUUCAUUAAACGACCUCAAAUCAGGUAAGAAUACCCGCUGAACUUAAGCAUAUCAAUAAGCGGAGGA